CCCUUAGAUGUUCUGGGCCGCACGCGUGCUACACUGAGUGGAUCAGCGGGUCAGGUUGCGCGAAAGUGUUUCCUAAUCUUGAAAUCCGCUCGUGAUGGGGAUUGACGGUUGCAAUUUUCCGUCAUGAACGAGGAAUACCUUGUAAGCGCGGGUCAUCAUCCCGCGCUGAAUACGUCCCUGCCCUUUGUACACACCGCCCGUCGCUCCUACCGAUUGAGUGGUCCGGUGAGGCUUUGGGAUCUGAGCAAAGAGAGCGUUUCGCUCGUUUUGCCCGGAGAACUCAGUCGAACCUUAUCAUUUAGAGGAAGGAGAAGUCGUAACA
rnacentral:rRNA from 1 species